UCCAGCGUAGCUCAGAGGUAGAGCAGUUGGCUGUUAACCAAUUGGUCGCAGGUUCGAAUCCUGCCGCUGGAGCCA
rnacentral:tRNA from 2 species